rnacentral:rRNA from 1 species
GACGAACGCUGGCGGCGUGCUUAACACAUGCAAGUCGAACGGAGAGACAUGGAAGCUUGCUUCUAUGAAUCUUAGUGGCGAACGGGUGAGUAACGCGUAAUCAACCUGCCCUUCAGAGGGGGAUAACAACGGGAAACCGUUGCUAAUACCGCGUACGAUAUGCUUUCGGCAUCGAGAGUAUAUGAAAGGUGGCCUCUAUAUAUAAGCUAUCGCUGAAGGAGGGGAUUGCGUCUGAUUAGCUAGUUGGAGGGGUAACGGCCCACCAAGGCGAUGAUCGGUAGCCGGACUGAGAGGUUGAACGGCCACAUUGGGACUGAGACACGGCCCAG